UUCAAAACUAAGCAGAAACCUAAAAGAAAACAAAACCAGCCUCUGUUCGUCUCCCUCAAACCAUUCCAUCGCCAUUUUCGCAUCAGUAGCAGAGGUAAGUGCUUCUCACCCUUCACAGGGAAAUAACCAUCAGAAUAUCCAAGCCCUCUGCUUAAAACUGAGUUCUUCGGAACCAAACUGACGAAUUUCCGGUCUCAGCCUUUACCUUUCAAAAUCAUUCAUUUCCAAUCCCAAUCCUAUCUUUAUUAACAAUAUCUUCAACUGAAGCCGGAGCCUCCUCCAUCCAGUAUUCCAGUCGUUCAUGACUUCUUCCUUCCUUUGCAAGUGCAUGUGCAGUGGCAUUGGCCGAACAAGUUGUUACCCCUUUAUCUACCAUCAACGUAUCACCUUCCACACAGAUUUCCCGAAAGCCUAACUCUUCCCCGAAGGUGACAACAUGCAAGCACGCCCAAGCUUCUGCCAUUUCUGGUGUCGAGAUAUUUGUACUCGGGUUAAUGCAUGCAACCAUAAUUAAUCCAUCUUUAUUUCUUGCAAUUAUACCUGCCUUGGAAGUGUUAAGAUCUUGUUGAAACGAGGCAUCGAAAUUGAUUUUAGCCAUAUCUCCAUCAGGCGGUUCCCAUUUAACACUUUUAGUCACUGUUUUUGGCACCAAAGAACGUUCAAGUAACUCAUUUUCCACCAUGUAUGCAUUAAUAAAAGAAAUCACAUCUUGUUCUUUUGGUUUUAAACCCUCAUGGUAGGCUCUGUUUCUGUUGAACCAUAGUGCCCAGAAAGAAACUACAAGAAUCUUACAUUUUAUACAGUCAUUUUUAUGUUAGACGUCAGAAAUCGAAGCAAGAAAAGAUAGAGAAAGGCGAGGAAGAUUUUAGAGAA